rnacentral:rRNA from 1 species
UACAGAGGUCCCAAGCGUUGUUCGGAUUCACUGGGCGUAAAGGGUGCGUAGGUGGUGAGGUAAGUCGGAUGUGAAAUCUCCAGGCUCAACCUGGAAAAUGGCAUUGGAAACUACCUUGCUAGAGGGUUUGAGGGGGGACUGGAAUACUUGGUGUAGCAGUGAAAUGCGUAGAUAUCAAGUGGAACACCAGUGGCGAAGGCGAGUCCCUGGAAAAUACCUGACACUGAGGCACGAAAGCUAGGGGAGCAAACAGG